rnacentral:rRNA from 1 species
GACGAACGCUGGCGGCGUGCUUAACACAUGCAAGUCGAGCGAUGAAAUUCUCUUCGGAGAAUGGAUUAGCGGCGGACGGGUGAGUAACACGUGGGUAACCUGCCUUAUAGUGGGGGAUAGCCUUUCGAAAGGAAGAUUAAUACCGCAUAAUAUUGUAGUUUCGCAUGAAACAACAAUUAAAGAUUUAUCGCUAUAAGAUGGACCCGCGGCGCAUUAGCUAGUUGGUGGGGUAACGGCCUACCAAGGCGACGAUGCGUAGCCGACCUGAGAGGGUGAUCGGCCACAUUGGGACUGAGACACGGCCCAG